rnacentral:sRNA from 1 species
CCGGCAUCUACUCCGACGGGAGGAAAAGCGGACUCUUCAACCGCCUGAUGCUGGGUUCUUAUUUGAGGG